GACGAACGCUGGCGGCGUGCUUAACACAUGCAAGUCGAACGGAAAGGCCCUGCUUUUGUGGGGUGCUCGAGUGGCGAAGGGGUGUGUAACACGUGAGUAACCUGCCCUUGACUGUGGUAUAACUGGAGGAAACUGGGUAUAAUACCGGAUAGGAGCUCCUGCUGCGGGGUGGGGUGGGGAAAUUUUCGGCGGUUGGGGAGGGACUCGCGGCUUAUCAGCUUGUUGGUGGGGUAGUGGCUUACCAAGGCUUUGACGGGUAGCCGGCCUGAGAGGGUGACCGGCCACACUGGGACUGAGAUACGGCCCAGACUCCUACGGGAGGCAGCAGUGGGGAAUAUUGCACAAUGGGCGGAAGCCUGAUGCAGCAACGCCGCGUGCGGGAUGACGGCCUUCGGGUUGUAAACCGCUUUCGCCUGUGACGAAGCGUGAGUGACGGUAAUGGGUAAAGAAGCACCGGCUAACUACGUG
rnacentral:rRNA from 1 species